UGGGGAAUUUUGGACAAUGGGGGAAACCCUGAUCCAGCCAUCCCGCGUGUGCGAUGAAGGCCUUCGGGUUGUAAAGCACUUUUGGCAGGAAAGAAACGUCAUGGGUUAAUACCCCGUGAAACUGACGGUACCUGCAGAAUAAGCACCGGCUAACUACGUGCCAGCAGCCGCGGUAAUACGUAGGGUGCAAGCGUUAAUCGGAAUUACUGGGCGUAAAGCGUGCGCAGGCGGUUCGGAAAGAAAGAUGUGAAAUCCCAGAGCUCAACUUUGGAACUGCAUUUUUAACUACCGGGCUAGAGUGUGUCAGAGGGAGGUGGAAUUCCGCGCGUAGCAGUGAAAUGCGUAGAUAUGCGGAGGAACACCGAUGGCGAAGGCAGCCUCCUGGGAUAACACUGACGCUCAUGCACGAAAGCGUGGGGAGCAAACAGG
rnacentral:rRNA from 1 species